UACAGAGGUCCCAAGCGUUGUUCGGAUUCAUUGGGCGUAAAGGGUGCGUAGGCGGCGCGGUAAGUCGGGUGUGAAAUCUUGGAGCUUAACUCCGAAACUGCAUUCGAUACUGCCGUGCUUGAGGACUGGAGAGGAGACUGGAAUUUACGGUGUAGCGGUGAAAUGCGUAGAUAUCGUAAGGAAGACCAGUGGCGAAGGCGGGUCUCUGGACAGUUCCUGACGCUGAGGCGCGAAGGCGUGGGGAGCGAACGGG
rnacentral:rRNA from 1 species